UGGGGAAUCUUGGACAAUGGGGGCAACCCUGAUCCAGCCAUGCCGCGUGAGUGAUGAAGGCCUUAGGGUCGUAAAGCUCUUUCGCCUGUGAAGAUAAUGACGGUAGCAGGUAAAGAAACCCCGGCUAACUCCGUGCCAGCAGCCGCGGUAAUACGGAGGGGGUUAGCGUUGUUCGGAAUUACUGGGCGUAAAGCGCACGUAGGCGGACCAGAAAGUUGGGGGUGAAAUCCCGGGGGCUCAACCCCGGAACUGCCUCCAAAACUAUUGGUCUAGAGUUCGAGAGAGGUGAGUGGAAUUCCAAGUGUAGAGGUGAAAUUCGUAGAUAUUUGGAGGAACACCAGUGGCGAAGGCGGCUCACUGGCUCGAUACUGACGCUGAGGUGCGAAAGUGUGGGGAGCAAACAGGAUUAGAUACCCUGGUAGUCCACGCUGUAAAACGAUGGGUACUCGGUGUUGC
rnacentral:rRNA from 1 species